GACAGCCAGUUUCCCGGGUCCAGCCAGCCACCAGCCAGUGUAGUGUCGCUGCUGGAUGUGGCGUACAGCCAGUAUGGCUUCAUCACCAACGAGGCUAUAAAUAGGCUGCGAGCGCAGCGGCGCGUCAGUGUCGUGCAGGCGCUCGAGGACGGCGUCACGCGCAACACGCUCCGCUCCGUCGGCCCUGAAUGUCUAUUGUCUAAAGAAGAACUCCAGGCGCUGGUGGAGCUAGUGCGGGGGGAACAGCCCGUGGGAGGCGAAGGGCGGGAGGCUCGACAAGCGGGGCACAACAGGGGAGGGGGGGCGCGCCACUACCACAGGGAGGGGGGAUACUGUGUCCCCUACCCCCUCCUGCGCUCCCUACUGCGCCACGCCUCCCUCUGGGGGGGCGCGGAUGACGUCACCCUCGACCAAUUGGCGGCUAGCGUCUUCCAGCUGCUGGACGUGGAGGGGGCGGGGGCGGUGAGCUUCAGGUCGGUGUGCUGGCUGCUGAGCGUCCUGAACGGCGGGGACGCCGCCCGCCACCUCCGCCUGCUGUACUGGCUGCACC